UUCCCCCCACUGCCCAGCGCCAUACUGAGGUGGGCUGAGGGGUAACCCCCAAGGGACAAUCGGAGGGGCCUAGGCCUACCACUCCUUCUCUCUAUUCCGUUUUUGGCAUGUGAUGAAAAAUAUUGCUUUUUGGAUUCAUCUCUCCCGGCCUUGGAUUUAAAAAUAAUGUUAACCAUGUGAGUUGGGGGAAGGCUCUGAGGGGACUAAAGAAGCCCCACCCUAAUCCCUCUCCCCCAAGAAGGGAUGGGGGGGAUUAUCCAAUAUUGUUCCUGGA